rnacentral:lncRNA from 1 species
GCCCGCCUCUUGUCCGAUUCGUGUUCACAAGUUCCGGUGAGUGUGUCCCAGUCGUGAUCAAAUCGUCUUAUCUUCAUAAACAGAAGAAUACCAAAGAUGUUGCCGCUUCUGCUGCUGCUAAAGUCAAAACAGUAGUCAACGAAUCGAAAACAGAGGAAACAAAGAAAACAGAACCUGAAACAGAGGAAAAACAGAGCUGUGUUUUGAAUGAGAAUCUGAAGAAGAUCACAAGACCGAACCGUUUCUUUCCCGUGACUGUGAUCUUGGUUCUUGUUUUCUUGGUUUUCUUUGGAAGAUCUGUUGCGAUCAUGUGCACUUGUAUUGCUUGGUACUUGGUACCAACGAUCAAGGAACAGAGAGGAAACAGAGGAUCUUCAUC